CGGUAAUACGGAGGAUUCGAGCGUUAUCCGGAUUUAUUGGGUUUAAAGGGUCCGUAGGCGGUCUUUUAAGUCAGUGGUGAAAUCCCAGAGCUCAACUCUGGAACUGCCAUUGAAACUGAAAGACUUGAAUAUGGUUGAGGUAGGCGGAAUACGUUAUGUAGCGGUGAAAUGCAUAGAUAUAACGUAGAACACCAAUUGCGAAGGCAGCUUACUAAACCAUUAUUGACGCUGAUGGACGAAAGCGUGGGGAGCGAACAGGAUUAGAUACCCUGGUAGUCCACGCCGUAAACGAUGAUUACUCGUUGUGCACAAUACAUCGUGCGUGACUUAGCGAAAGCAUUAAGUAAUCCACCUGGGGAGUACGUUCGCAAGAAUGAAACUCAAAGGAAUUGACGGGGGCCCGCACAAGCGGAGGAACAUGUGGUUUAAUUCGAUGAUACGCGAGGAACCUUACCUGGACUUAAAUGUAGAUUGGCCGGUUUAGAAAUAGAUCUUUCCUUCGGGACAAUUUACAAGGUGCUGCAUGGUUGUCGUCAGCUCGUGCCGUGAGGUGUCGGGUUAAGUCCCAUAACGAGCGCAACCCCUAUCGUUAGUUGCUAGCAGGUAAUGCUGAGGACUCUAGCGAGACUGCCACCGUAAGGUGAGAGGAAGGUGGGGGAUGACGUCAAAUCAGCACGGGCCCUUACGUCCAGGGCUACACACGUGUUACAAUGGCCAGUACAAAGGGCAGCUACCAGGCGACUGGAUGCUAAUCUCAAAAGCUGGUCUCAGUUCGGAUCGGAGUCUGCAACUCGACUCCGUGAAGUUGGAUUCGCUAGUAAUCGUAUAUCAGCAAUGAUACGGUGAAUACGUUCCCGGG
rnacentral:rRNA from 1 species